AGCCUCCUGGUGCUUACCACAGGCAACAUGUUCUUACACUGACUAUACAGAAAGAGAAGGCAGAGUAAAUUCACCCAUAUACACCCCAGCUCAGGUGCUUUGCCUGGUCUGUAUUCUGAAUGGGGGGGCAUGG
ensembl:snoRNA